rnacentral:rRNA from 1 species
AGUGAACGCUGGCGGUAUGCCUAACACAUGCAAGUCGAACGGCAGCACAGUAAGAGCUUGCUCUUACGGGUGGCGAGUGGCGGACGGGUGAGGAAUACAUCGGAAUCUACUUUUUCGUGGGGGAUAACGUAGGGAAACUUACGCUAAUACCGCAUACGACCUACGGGUGAAAGCAGGGGAUCUUCGGACCUUGCGCGAUUGAAUGAGCCGAUGUCGGAUUAGCUAGUUGGCGGGGUAAAGGCCCACCAAGGCGAUGAUCCGUAGCUGGUCUGAGAGGAUGAUCAGCCACACUGGAACUGAGACGCGGUCCAGACUCCUACGGGAGGCAGCAGUGGGGAAUAUUGGACAAUGGGCGCAAGCCUGAUCCAGCCAUACCGCGUGGGUGAAGAAGGCCUUCGGGUUGUAAAGCCCUUUUGUUGGGAAAGAAAAGCAGCAGGUUAAUACCCCGCUGUUCUGACGGUACCCAAAGAAUAAGCACCGGCUAACUUCGUG